GACGAACGCUGGCGGCGUGCUUAACACAUGCAAGUCGAACGGAAAGGCCCUGCUUUUGUGGUGUACUCGGGUGGCGAACGGGUGAGACACACGUGAGUAACCUGCCCUUGCCUUUGGGAUAACUUCAGGAAACUGGGGCUACUACCGGUUAGGAGCUCCUGCUGCAUGGUGGGGUUUGGAAGGUUUCGGCGGUUGGGGUUGGACUCGCGGCUUAGCAGGUUGUCGGUGGGGUAGUGGCUUACCAAGUCUGUGACGGGUAGCCGGCCUGAGAGGGUGACCGGCCACAUUGGGACUGAGAUUCGGCGCAGAAUCCUACGGGAGGCAGCAGUGGUGAAUAGUGGACAAUGGGCGGAAGCCUGAGGCAGCAACGCCGCGUGCGGGAUUACGGCCUUCGGGUGGUAAACCGCUUUCGCCUGUGACGAAGCGUGAGUGACGGUAAUGGGUAAAGAAGCACCGGCUAACUACGUG
rnacentral:rRNA from 1 species